UCCUCUCAUUCGCGGUAUUUCCUUUCCAUUUUCAUCUCCUUCCCUUCCGUAGUAGACUCCAACAAAUGAAAAGGAAGCCAGGCCGACCCCACCAUUUUUGACUCGGAGGCGCGAAACUCCAACAUGUCCUUCUCUGCUCGAAAGCCUCAUCGUCUUUUGAGGGGAACCUCAGAAAGGAGUUCUGCAAAUUCUUGAAUUAAACUUGAGAAUUCUCUCUCUUCUUUCUCUUACUGCGAACCGAAGAUUCUAGGAUGUGUAUUCUUGACGCCUCUUGCCUGAUAAUCGUAUUGCUGAAUGCAUCUUACUCUGAUAUUUGGCAUGGAACAAGCAUGCUGAUAUCUUUGGACAUAGUUUUGAUUGUUAAGUGCAUUGCAUGAGAAGAAGAUAGCUUAAGAAUAGCCAAGACAACUUACCAAGUACCAACACGUUGCAAGGCCCCUCGGUCUCACUCCAGCAAGUCAACCUGGGAUGCGUGGAACUUUCUGUUUCUCCAUGCAAAUUGUGAUGCAUGCUUAUUUAUCCAACUAGGUUAGGUCGCAGAACCUUAUCCGUCUAGAUUCUGUCUCAUUGAGUGAAUGGUCUAGGACUAUGUUCAGUCCAAAACAAACGGUUAUUGCAAAUAAUGUACCUACAUUUGCGAGGCAUUUUCUUGUCUAGUCCUGGCUACAGAUGGAUCAACUUUGGUCAUGGUACAGCUUACCUUAUCAGUUGUCUGCAAGCUCAGCUUCUGAGAGAACUUGCUGGAACUGCUGUUCUUUUGGCUUGAAAUGCCGCGUGGCUGGGGGCUUUUGAGGUCUCGGCCUUGAGGUUGCCGUGAACAGCAUUCUCCUCCAUUUGUUCAGAUUCUAAGUUAUAAUAUGGUUAACUCCUUUUUCCGAUAGACCCUCGUAUCCAACAGGUUGCAGAAAUGAUUGGAACGAAGAUGAGUAUGGAUACAGCUGGAUAAAAAAUGUUUACGCAGAUCCUGGCAGCAGUUAGGCGAGUCUUCUUAGCUUUGGCUGCAUCAAGAGCAAUAAGAGUGCCGAAACCUUGAGCUAUUUCAGCAUUUCCGAACCACGCCACUUGCCAUCCACUGUUUGGAUCUUCCUUUGCAACUUGCUACUUUGAGCACCUCUUUGGCAUUCAAGAGGGCAACAAGUUAGCAUGAACGGGGAAGGAUUAAACAGAUCCUUCAUUUUAGUGAGAGCUACUUGCUUUUCUUCAAAUUGGGAGUUAGGGGUAGACUCCAUUCUGUGAGGACUUGGAUGCUCUUGAACAUAAAAAGAGUGAAUCUUGAAAGAGCUUUAACCCUCAUCAAUCAACUUGAUUACAUGCUUUAGGAUGUUUUUCCAGAACUUGCCUGUUGCUUAUUCUCCUUCUGCUUCAUACAACAUGUUGAUUCUGGUUGUGUUUCUUUCUCAAAUGUAACAGCUUUUAAAUUUUCUGACUCUAAACAAGGAUCACAUGAAUAAAAAUAUAAUUAGGCUAUAUCCUUGGAACCAAGCUGAUUAU